UACAUUUGAAAAUAACCAUCCAACGGUCACAAAACCACUAGCCGUUGAGUUUUUUUAAAACUAUAAAACAUGACGCUCCUGGUCUCCACGGACAAAUAGCCACAGUCCUCAUAGUCUCAGUAGUAUUACAAUCUCUCAAUCCCCAGAGUGGCUACAGUCUUCUGGGUUUAUCAACAAAAAUUGGUGAUUCCUCUCAUGAGAACAACCCGAUCUCCGUCAAGCCCACAAGCUUGGAAGGAGAGCCAUAGAAACUCAGGGUAUCUCCUGAAUCUUUACCCCAUGUGUUAGAGUCAAAUCUCUCCGACCGUGAUCACCGAAGGCGGUUGAAGUGUCAUCGGCGGCUACUGGUUUUGUUUUUGGUAAAGCGCGACAUCUGGAUUUACUGCAGAAAGUUUGGGGAUCAGAGAACUGGAUCGAAUCGUGGUAGAAAUUUGUGGUGUCUACGUACUAUUCAGAACUGGAUCUUUGCCUUCUUUCACCAAGAUAAUUAGAUCAUCUUGCUAGAGGCCAUGAGUGACCAGCCAUACUACAAUCGACAGCUUCUGAAGAAUGUCUCCGGAUAAUUGGAUCGUGAUGGAAUAAUUUACAAUCUAGAGGCUAUGGGUGGACAGGAUCAGCCUAUAAAUACUGCAAUUGAGGAUCGAGUGGAUUGAGGUUGACUCUUAAGGUGUCAAUGUUAAAGUUCAAGUCUGUUGGUACUAUCGACUAGAGGAGUCUAUCAAUGGCCAUCACCAGUUCCACGAUUCUAAGGAGGUGUUCCUCUUUGGACUUUGAUCACUUUGAUUUUCAAAGUGUUGACACAAUUGAAAGCAAAUGUUUAUUUUUGAAGGUUGAUGCUAUUGGUGUAACCCUUAAAUUUAUAGUUUUAAGGUUUCCACGAAGCUUAAUGCUAUUGGUAUGGACAAUGUGUUGUUCAAGUGUAGGGAAGGGUGAACUUAACUUUGUGUUGCCUUGUUUGUCUUCAAAUUAUUGUGUUCUAGUGUC